GCCUGUGUAGCUCAUCUGGCAGAGCGCCCUGCUCAUAACGGGGAGGUAAGUGGUUCGAGACCACUCAUAGGUA
rnacentral:tRNA from 1 species